rnacentral:rRNA from 1 species
AUUGAACGCUGGCGGCAUGCCUUACACAUGCAAGUCGAACGGCAGCACGGGAGCUUGCUCCUGGUGGCGAGUGGCGAACGGGUGAGUAAUACAUCGGAACGUACCCUGAAGUGGGGGAUAACGUAGCGAAAGUUACGCUAAUACCGCAUAUUCUGUGAGCAGGAAAGAGGGGGAUCGCAAGACCUCUUGCUUUAGGAGCGGCCGAUGUCGGAUUAGCUAGUUGGUGAGGUAAAGGCUCACCAAGGCGACGAUCCGUAGCGGGUCUGAGAGGAUGAUCCGCCACACUGGGACUGAGACACGGCCCAGACUCCUACGGUAGGCAGCAGUGGGGAAUUUUGGACAAUGGGCGCAAGCCUGAUCCAGCCAUGCCGCGUGAGUGAAGAAGGCCUUGGUU